CGGCCUCUAGUCUACCGGUUGUCCGGCAGGGCAGUGCCGGGCAGCCACGCCGCGAGGGAUAAGGGCUGAAGGCAUCUAAGCCCGAACCCCUCCCCGAGACGAGGC
rnacentral:rRNA from 1 species